CAGAAAUACUAUAUUGGGCAGAAAUACUAUAUUUAGCACAAAUCUUAUAAAAUAGCAGAAAUAGUAUGAUUCAGCACAAUAGUAAUAACUUAAACAGAAAAAUUGGAAAAGCAAAAUGGACAGCUGAAAAAAUGCUGAACAUGCUAAGGGUCCUUCAAAUGUACUUGUUAAAUGAAAAAAAAACUCAGAAAAAAAUGUAACAGUCACACAAUCACAAAUAUGGACACAUAUGGAAACACACAUGCACAGAGAGACACACACAGGAUCAAAUUCAGUCAACCAGUCUAAAUAUAUUGAAUUUAAAUCAUACAAUAAGAUGCUCCCAUAAAAACUCUGUCUCGCCCUCUCUUUCUCUCUCUCUGUCACACACACACACACACACACACACACACACACACACACACACACACACACACACACAGGGAGAGAGGAGCAAGUUUCUAGGUCAUUCAAGCAGCCUGGGAGCUGCUAAAUU
ensembl:lncRNA